UACGUAGGGGGCAAGCGUUGUCCGGAAUCAUUGGGCGUAAAGAGCGCGUAGGCGGUCCGGUAAGUCCGCUCUGAAAGUCCGGGGCUCAACCCCGGGAGGCGGGCGGAUACUGUCGGGCUAGAGUCCGGAAGAGGCGAGUGGAAUUCCUGGUGUAGCGGUGAAAUGCGCAGAUAUCAGGAGGAACACCGAUGGCGAAGGCAGUGUUCUGGGCCAGUACUGACGCUGAGGAGCGAAAGCGUGGGGAGCAAACAGG
rnacentral:rRNA from 1 species